CCAGACUCCUACGGGAGGCAGCAGUGAGGAAUAUUGGUCAAUGGCCGGAAGGCUGAACCAGCCAAGCCGCGUGAAGGACGAAGGUGCCAAGCAUUGUAAACUUCUUUUGUCAAGGGACAAAAUCAGGCUCGAGAGCCUGACCGAGGGUACUUGAAGAAAAAGCAUCGGCUAACUCCGUGCCAGCAGCCGCGGUAAUACGGAGGAUGCGAGCGUUAUCCGGAUUUAUUGGGUUUAAAGGGUGCGCAGGCGGGAGAUCAAGUCAGCGGUAAAAUGUCGGGGCUCAACCCCGGCCGGCCGUUGAAACUGGCGGGCUGGAGUUGGAGAGAAGUACGCGGAAUGCGCGGUGUAGCGGUGAAAUGCUUAGAUAUCGCGCAGAACCCCGAUUGCGAAGGCAGCGUACCGGCUCCACACUGACGCUGAGGCACGAAAGCGUGGGUAUCGAACAGGAUUAGAUACCCCAGUA
rnacentral:rRNA from 1 species